GAAAACAUAGCAUCAUCAUCGUUUUUUCACUCCCUCACUCUAUCUCAUACUACCCCAAAUUGAUUCACCCCUCACUCGAACCUCCAUCUCAACUCAAAUAUAACAUCAUCAGAAAUAUUCACACCCAGCCAAACAGAAUAGGUCGCCGGAGAAGACGGGUUGAUGAGGGUGGUGAGAGUGGUAGUGACUAGCAGCUUCGCCGGCGGUAAC
rnacentral:lncRNA from 1 species